GAAUUUCUCUACCUCUACACACUCUUAACCAGAUAUAUCAUUUUCAGGACAAUUCAAUACAGAAACAAGAAGUGUGUGAAAAAGAAACCAUUGAGAAGCUUAAAGAAUUGGUUAAUCGGCUUCCAUCAGUGCACUAUAUAACUCUAGCAUUUUUAAUCCACCAUUUGAAAAGGAUAUCAGAAAACGUGGAGAAGAAUAAUAUGCCACCAAGUAACCUUGCUAUUGUGUUUGGACCGAACUUACUUCAAACGAGUGAAGGAAAUGCCUCAUUGAACUCUUUGAUCGACACGGUGCAUCAAGCUAGGGCCAUCGAGUUGUUGAUCAUUCAUGUAAAUGAAAUUUUUGGACCACCUGAAGUAGCCUAUCCAGACAUUCUUCAGGAACUAGAGGAGUUAAAUAGGAUGAAACCAUUGAAU